rnacentral:lncRNA from 1 species
UUAUGAAUAAGUUAAUGAAUUAUUGUUACUAUACUACUAGCAUUCCGCUCUUCUAUAGCGCUUUCGUGCACUUUGCGACACCCAUCCACCACUGAUAGCAAUCCUGCCAAUUAUGCAAUUUAAAAUUAACGAAUUAACUUGGUGAUAUUGAUUACUUACAGUAAUCAUGGCUCUGUUUACUACGCUUAGAGAGCAUGACGAAACGAAUUCAGUAACACCUUUUUUCCCUAAAAAAAAGAAAAAAUAAAAAAGAAAAAACCAGUGCCGCAAUCAUCAGAGAGCAUCAUAAUCAUUAUUACGUUGGUACUGAUAAGUGCAGAGGAGUACAUCCGUUACCUCGGUCCUAUGCACUGAUGAACUGCACGUCAUACCGUUCUUGCUGCUCGUGAAGAUUGUGCUCGACCCUUUCUCGCCUCUACAAUGCGGUUUUUGCUCAAUCUUUAGCUCUUAGAGUCACUUUUGCAUUCUCAUUCUUGAUUCACUACAGUAAUGGGCAGUUUGAGUUGGAUACAAAUGCAGGGGACAAAAACGUUCCAAAAAUUGAACAAGAGGCACCAGCCGCGAGGGAGUUGUGGGUCGAAACCUCAAAGGGCAACAACAUUACACUGACCUGUCCCAAACUUCCUGGCUCACCGCCAGCUGUGAUGGAACUUCAUGAGCCUAUAAAAACAAAUCCAGGAUUAGAACGGAAAACAGUGAUCUCUACUUCGGGACAACUAAGUUUGAACAACGUUAAUUACAGUGACGCCAAGACAUAUUACUGCACUAUUUUACCGAUGCUGCGCGUUUACCAACGGCAAAAAUCCAUCUGAACGUGUACGACGUGUUCAGCCACAUGCCUCUUUUAAGAUCUCGCAGGUCACCGGUAGCACACAAAGUCCAUCACGCGAAAAAAAACCAUGGUUCACACGGACACGAGCAUGAGCAAGAACACAAACACUCUCAUGCUCAAGAACACGAACACUCUCAGGCACAAGAACACAAACACUCUCAUGCGCAAGAACACGAACACUCUCAGGCACAAGAACACAAACACUCUCAUGCGCAAGAACACGAACACUCUCAGGCACAAGAACACAAACACUCUCUUGCGCAAGAACACGAACACUCUCAUGCGCAUGAUCAUGCGGAAGGAAUCAAAGCUCCUACUGAUCAUGGUACUCAUGGUAAAGCAGAUUGUAAAGAUAAAGAAAAAGUUACUCCAGCAGCCACUUCAUCCGACCAAAACAAAACGCACGUUGCAAAAGAGGAGCAUAAUCAUGAGGCAGCAAUUGCCGAACAGGACGAAGAGUUGGAUGCCAAUGAGAACUACGAUGACGAUCCCAGUAGCAUUCCCGUUUUUGCGCCUCCUUCAUCUCCAGACAUCGAUCAACUGAGUGACACCAGCGUACAACUUAAAUGGUCAUCAGGCUCCUUAAGGGACAAAGGGGUUAAAGGUUACAAAAUUGAAUACCUCAAGGGUAAUGAAACCAAAGUUUUGGCGGAUUACACAGUUGGCAUGUCGUUGCGAAUCGAAUAAAGCCAAAGUUCAGAAUUUUCAAAGUGAAUAAUUUGGAGCCAGAAAAAAUGUACAG